GCAGAACGAACGCUGGCGGCGCGUCUUAAGCAUGCAAGUCGAACGGCAAGUCAAGUGCUUGCACUUGGCCUAGAGUGGCGGAUUGGUGAGUAACACGUGGGUGACCUACCCUUGAGAUGGGGAUAGCCGUUAGAAAUAGCGGAUAAUACCGAAUACGCUCGCGACCCUUUGGGGAUGCGAGGAAAACAGGCUACGGCCUGGCUCGAGGAUGGGCCCGCGUCCCAUUAGCUAGUUGGUGAGGUAAAUGCUCACCAAGGCGACGAUGGGUAUCCGGCCUGAGAGGGUGUACGGACACAUUGGGACUGAGAUACGGCCCAAACUCCUACGGGAGGCAGCAGCUAAGAAUAUUCCGCAAUGGACGAAAGUCUGACGGAGCGACGCCGCGUGGAUGAAUAAGGCCGAAAGGUUGUAAAGUCCUUUUGCCGGUGAAGAAUAAGUGUGGUAGGGAAUGACCGCAUGAUGACAUUAGUCGGUGAAUAAGCCCCGGCUAACUACGUGCCAGCAGCCGCGGUAACACGUAGGGGGCAAGCGUUGUUCGGAAUUAUUGGGCGUAAAGGGCAUGUAGGCGGUUUGGUAAGCCUGAUGUGAAAUCCUGCAGCUUAACUGUAGAAUUGCAUUGGGUACUGCUAAACUUGAA
rnacentral:rRNA from 1 species